rnacentral:rRNA from 1 species
AUUGAACGCUGGCGGCAUGCUUUACACAUGCAAGUCGAACGGCAGCGCGGGCUUCGGCCUGGCGGCGAGUGGCGAACGGGUGAGUAAUACAUCGGAACGUGCCCAGUAGUGGGGGAUAGCUCGGCGAAAGCCGGAUUAAUACCGCAUACGACCUGAGGGUGAAAGCGGGGGAUCUUCGGACCUCGCGCUAUUGGAUCGGCCGAUGGCAGAUUAGCUAGUUGGUGGGGUAAAGGCCUACCAAGGCGACGAUCUGUAGCUGGUCUGAGAGGACGACCAGCCACACUGGGACUGAGACACGGCCCAGACUCCUACGGGAGGCAGCAGUGGGGAAUUUUGGACAAUGGGCGAAAGCCUGAUCCAGCAAUGCCGCGUGUGUGAUGAAGGCCUUCGGGUUGUAAAGCACUUUUGGCAGGAACGAAAAGGACUGUGCCAAUACCACGGUUCGAUGACGGUACCCGCAGAAUAAGCACCGGCUAACUACGUG